AGCACAAAGCAGAAGUAACAGGCUGAAUCAGUACUGAUCUUGGAAAACACAGUCUGCUGAGACAGAAGUCUAAGAGAAAAAAUUGGCAAGAGGAGUGAAAUUAGCUUCAUGGAGAGUGCCUUGUGGGAAUGCCACCAAGGAAACACUUGAGAUAGAAGAAAUACCUCAUGACCAGGAAUUUACACAGAGCAAAUCCUACUACUGGUGGAUAAUUUUAUGUCAACUUGACUUAAGUUACAGUCAUUUGUGAAGAAGGAACCUCAACUAAGAAAAUGUAUCCACAAGUUGGUUUUUAGUGCUGCUGGGAACUGUUAUGGAGGGGCUUGCUGAUGCUAAUGAAGUAUGACACAACAUGAAGUUGAAAUUGUUCAUAUUUGGGAAUACUUGAGAUCAGGGAUCAGGGUAUCCUUACCGUUUUCUUUUUCUCUAGUUGUUCAGUCCUCUGUUUUAAUCCAAUUUAGGACACGGAUUCAAAGUAGACUUAACCUCCUCAAUUGAAUGUCUUUUGAAAUACUUCAUGGAUGCCUGCAGAUUUAUCUUCUAUGUGAUUCUGAAUGUUCAAUUAGACAGUGAAUAUUAACCACCACAAUCAUUCUCUUUGGAAUCACUAAUAAGCUAAAGUAGACAACGGCCCCUACCAAAAAUAAAGCUGUUCUGUUCCCUUGUACUGCUUGUCUCCUUUUCUUUUAAGUCAGUUGUGAAUCUUGCAACUCUUCACUUUCGUUUGGUCUUUGCCUUCCUUGAAACCCCAAAUCAGAUUUGGA